rnacentral:lncRNA from 1 species
GCAUCAUAGUGACCAGCCAGGCAUCAUAGUGACCAACCAAAGUAACAGGACCAACAGAAGUAACAGGAACUGGUAAUGGGAACUGAAGUAAACCAGAGGUUACAUAGGCAACAGAAACUGAAGUAUACUGGCUGGGGGGCCAUUUUCUGCUGUAGCUUCUGCACCUGCUGCAGUGAGCCCUUGGUCGUGCUGCCAUGGACACGAACAUGUUCCAGAGGCCAACAUGAGCCUAAAGGAAGCUCAUCUGUGGAAGGAGCUUGGCAGACGUGCCUCAACACCUUUGUCAACAACCCCAGAAAUUUACAUGACAUUACCAAGCAAGAAUUGAACAGCUAAAAGAACCUUUUCUAAGCUGCCAAUAAUAAAAAGCCAAUUUGGUCAACCAUGCUGGAGGGAAGACUGAAUCAUCUUUACAGAUGAUUUUUAUAGUCUCUCCAUAAAAAUAUCACCAAAUCAUUAUCUUGUGAAAAGGAAAGAAAUGCAGCCAAAAACUGAUCAGGGGAAAAGUAUAUUAAAGAAAUGUGCAGGUAGUUAAUUAACAAAAAAUAUUAUGCUCUGUUUCUGGAUCGUGUGAUGUAUGAGGUCUUUGGUGGUUUUCUUUUAAUAAUAGACUUUUUGAGUGG